rnacentral:lncRNA from 1 species
GACGCUUCCAUCUGUCAAAGCUGUGUCGCUUCCCCACAGUCAGCCACACAGACCAGAUCUGUCCCCUGGUCCUCAGGAAAGAAGACAGACCCGUCGUGUCUGAAAGGAGCUGUCAUCACCCCUGCGCCUCCCACCACCUCCGCAGCCCUGGGAGAGGAAGACGGCCACUUCAAAGCACGUGUUUGCAAGACGGCUCUUCACAUCCUUCGGGAAGAAGGAGGACAGACAAAGCCUUUCUUCUCAGGCUGCUCCGUCCUUAUUCCAAAAGGAAAGCACCCCUCUUUCCUCCCACAUCUCAGCCAGAACAAGGCCUGACUCUGCAGAGACCCACCCCUGGCCAGGAGAAAUCAAGAGAGCUUGACUGGCUUAGAUCCAUCAUGACUCCUUCCCUGGGGAGGGUGGACCCUCCUGCCUGGUUACCAUGCCUCUGGGAGCUCCCUGGAGACAAGCGGCUCUGUGCAGCCAUAAAGGAGGCCGUGGAGGGAACUAGGCUUUGGUUGGAAACCACUGGAGCAGGGUGCUGAGUGCUUGCUGUCUUUUAGCCUCGCUCAGCUGAGGUUUCUGAGCUGUGAGAAAAGCACAUCUCCCAGCGGGGGAACCAGAGCUGGCAGACCAUGGAUCUCAUUGUCACACUAAAGCAGGUGGGUGGACAGCUGCUCUCUGGAGUGGCCUUUUCUUCUCACUGGCACUUGCCUUUGACGCUGGCACUGAGGCUCCCCCACCGGUGACAGGGUCUCCGUGGACCUGCACGCCACUCCCGGGGAGUGCGAAGGGAGGUGGCUCAAAGAGAGCCUUUGAAGGACAAGUCCAUGCGAGGUCGCCCGGGGUCCAGGCUCGGCAGAGGCUCCUUGGCAUCCUGGGAGCCCCGAGGAGAGGGUCCCCCUUAACUGAGCAUCCUCGAC